GACGAACGCUGGCGGCGUGCUUAACACAUGCAAGUCGAACGAAGAGCGACGGAGGCUUGCUUCUAUCAAUCUUAGUGGCGAACGGGUGAGUAACGCGUAAUCAACCUGCCCUUCAGAGGGGGACAACAGUUGGAAACGACUGCUAAUACCGCAUACGAUCUAAUCUCGGCAUCGAGGAUGGAUGAAAGGUGGCCUCUACAUGUAAGCUAUCACUGAAGGAGGGGAUUGCGUCUGAUUAGCUAGUUGGAGGGGUAACGGCCCACCAAGGCGAUGAUCAGUAGCCGGUCUGAGAGGAUGAACGGCCACAUUGGGACUGAGACACGGCCCAGACUCCUACGGGAGGCAGCAGUGGGGAAUCUUCCGCAAGGGACGAAAGUCUGACGGAGCAACGCCGCGUGAGUGAUGACGGCCUUCGGGUUGUAAAGCUCUGUUAAUCGGGACGAAAGGCCUUCUUGCGAAUAGUGAGAAGGAUUGACGGUACCGGAAUAGAAAGCCACGGCUAACUACGUG
rnacentral:rRNA from 1 species